rnacentral:lncRNA from 1 species
AGCUCGUCCGGCCCGCCCGCAGGCCAGCUUCUCUCGGGAGCCUCCACCCAGGCGCAUGGCUCCAUGAAGCAAGAGGAGGAGGCAGAGCGCGAGAGAUCCCGUCCGCCCCAGCCGCGUCUGGGCCAGGAGAAAAGCAAAACCAUAUUCCUGCUGCUGUCAGUUUUGAUGCACUGAGAAAACUUCAGAGACCUAAGCUUUUUCCAGAGAAGAGAAGCUUUACUGGUGUUCCAGCCCUAAGGCUCAUAUGACAUUAACAGACAAGACACUUUUCAGAAAGACAGAUGGAGUCUCUCUGUCACCCAGACUGGAAUGCAGUGGCAUGAUCUUGGUUCACUGAAACCUCUGCCUUUCUGGUUCAAGCAAUUCUCAUGUUUCAGCCUCCCAGGUAACUGGAAUUACACGCACACGCCACCUCGCCUGGCUAAUUUUUGUACUUUUAGUAGAGACACAGUUUCACCAUGUUGGCCAGGCUGGUCUCUCAAACUCCUGACCUCAAGAGAUCUGCCUGCCUUGGCCUCCCAAAGUGCUGGGAUUACAAGCGUGAGCCACUGCACCUAGCUGGUUAUGCAUAUUUUCAAGUCUAUUGAUACCUAGUGCCAGGAACUUGAUUUCAAGAAGAAAUAUAUGUUGUAUGAAUGCAAGGGCUGUGUUUGCUUUUGCUCACCUGUUUCUGCAGUGGCCAGGCUUUUUGUCACAUUAAAGGUACUCAGUAAAACAUUUGCUCAAUGAAUAAAUGUAUGGCACCUGCCACUGAAAAUUAA